rnacentral:lncRNA from 1 species
AAGAGGACGAAUGAGUGAUUUAGUUAUUAAAAGUGGUUAAUUAUAGAAUUACAUUUAAAAUUUGAAGAAUCAAAAGAAAGUAUAUAGGAGUUGUAGAAGUUAAUUAGGGUGCCAGACUAUGAAAGUCGUAAGCCAAGGGCCAGACUGUAAGAGUCGUAAGCCGAGGGCCAGACUGUGAUAGUCAUGAGCCAAAGGCCAUUGCUGUGAUAGUGUGAGCCGGGAUAAGCUUGGUGCUACCUCUUUUCUUUUGUUUGUUAUUUUUUUUGAAUAAGAAGAUUGAGAGUUUUUGAAUAUUGUGAAGUAAAUUAUGGAAUGGAAAUUUGAUUGGUAUUAUUUGAGAAGAAGAAAGACUGAAGUUUAGCAGAAAAAAUGAGUCUGUGUUUGUGUGAAACAUUGUAAUGUGAAUGGCAGUUCUGUGUGAAGAAUUCCAGUGAUUGGAACAAAGGUAAUUGUGUGUUGAAAGCUGUGAGGGCACAGUAUUACAGUUAGAGAUUAUGAGGGUGAAUAUAUUGGUAGAAAUAGCAGUUACUGGUAUGACUGAAUUGUUAUAAGGAAGAGAUCGAUAAGGUG